CUAAAGUGGUCCUUUUUUGAUAGUCUUUAUGAAGUGGUCCUCUUAUCAAUUUUAAUGCAUUUCCAUGACAUGAUUUUUGUCCUUUUCAUUAAUUUUCUUUGGGAGACUAACUUUAGCAAAGGCAAUCUCAAUAAUGAAAGCUAGGCGUUUCACUUAUGUUUAUAUAUCAUAGGCUUCCGUCUGGGGUAAAUACGAAAGUACUUAGCUUGUAUACAUGCAUAUGUACUGUGAUUUCAGCCUUCAUGGGCCCCUCAGCUGAUACUAAAAUAGCUAGAGAAAUGCACAAUCUGAAAGUAGUACCAGGAAUUUUCUUCUAAUUCAUGGGCCAUAACGUUUUUCUGGGUUAAGAAGUAGGCACGUGAUGAAGUUAGAUUUACAGCUUCUGCUUGGCAUGUUCAGAUUGUGUUUCCUGUGGAGUAGUGGAUUGUAUAAUUUGUAUUACAACAGCAGUAUAUAAUACAACAGUAGUGAUGAUUCCUGGUAUAUUAAAAUUGUAGCCUUCAUUAUGCGUAUGAAAGCAGAACCAAGCAAUGCUUGCUAGUGCGGUACUUGGGAUGUGUGAGCGAUACAAGUAAUGUACGAGUUUGAGUGGUGUCUCAUGAUUCAGCUGUCAAUCUUUCUUCUUUAACACGUAAUAAUGAGAAAGUCUCUGCUUAUUAUUGAAAAUGGUAUUAUAUUUCACUGCAAAUAUAGUUUGCAUUAAUAUGAGCUAGAUUAAGAGCAAAAAAUUCUAUUACUGGACAAUGGCAUGGGAAUUAUGAACAGGGUAAAUUGCAUAAAAGUUACUGAGAAAAGAAUAUUACUGUUUUCUAAGUUUUGUUGGGGAAACAUUAUCUGGUUGAAGAUAGGAGUGCAUUCAUAAGGUAAUGAUGAAAUUUUGUUUUUAAGUGAUGGAAAACCUUUUUCUUUUUGUAUGUCAAUAAUAUUUCAAUUUGACAAGUUAUGUGGUGACACCAUCCAAACCUCUAUGAACACUGUUGUAUGUUGGGAAAAAUUAGUAAUGGCAUUCAUCACUACGUAUGAUCUAAUGCAUUACUUAAUUUGGUGGUUAAGGUGCAGUUGAACUAGAUACUAGGGUAUGAAAUCAAGAAGCAGACUUGAAUAUUCUGGCGUACAAUUGGUUUGUGCCCUCUUUUAUGAAUGCAACAAGGAUUACCUUCUUUACUUCUGAUACUUUUGGAAUAUUUAAUUGCUACCUUAUGAAAUUUAUUUAUCAUUGUUAGUUCACUCAUGUGAAUUAUUGUAGGACAAUACUUAUGCUACUAAAUGUUACUUUUAGAAUGAAUUAUUGGGACUUGCAUUGUUUGAUCACUCAAAAGUCUCUCUAUAUCUUAGCUUUGAUUGUGAUAGAAGGCAAGGAAAUGGUUUAGACUUCAGAGGGAUAACAAGGGAAGUCAUUCUUUGCCAUACACUCUUGAUAGUUCAUUUGGAAAGAAAGCAAUUGAAGAAUUGUGUAUGACCAUAAAAGGUCAAAUGAGUUUUUGGGAAGUGUCCACAAAAAAAAAUUGAAGUUUCUUUGUUUUACUGUACUUUGUUCUGUUAAGAUUCCUUUGGAAGAAGAGUAAUAUGGUAGCUUUUCCCUCUUAGUACCUUUCCCCACAACUUCCAACAAAUGCUUUCUUGCUAUUCAUAUUUUCGCCUCUCUGUACUUGAAUGCUUCUUUUAUGUAUCAGCAUCUAUGAAGGAAAGGACUGAUAAAAUUUUAAAUUGCAUAGGAUGUGAAUUAUUUUUCUUAGUAGCAUGUUUCAUGUCCUUUUCCCUUUCAUUAAUCAACUACAGGCCAAACUUAUUUUGCAGGCUAGUUUUCAUCAGAAAAAUAAAAGGGCAUUGUACUUCUUCUCAUCUACAGACUGUUAAUUCUGCCAUUUUAUUGCUUAAUUUUU
rnacentral:misc_RNA from 1 species